UGAGGGUGAAUUGUCAACUAUUCUAGUGGU
rnacentral:piRNA from 1 species